rnacentral:rRNA from 1 species
GUACGGGAGGCAGCAGUGGGGAAUAUUGGACAAUGGGCGCAAGCCUGAUCCAGCCAUGCCGCGUGAGUGAUGAAGGCCCUAGGGUUGUAAAGCUCUUUUGUGCGGGAAGAUAAUGACGGUACCGCAAGAAUAAGCCCCGGCUAACUUCGUGCCAGCAGCCGCGGUAAUACGAAGGGGGCUAGCGUUGCUCGGAAUCACUGGGCGUAAAGGGUGCGUAGGCGGGUCUUUAAGUCAGGGGUGAAAUCCUGGAGCUCAACUCCAGAACUGCCUUUGAUACUGAGGAUCUUGAGUUCGGGAGAGGUGAGUGGAACUGCGAGUGUAGAGGUGAAAUUCGUAGAUAUUCGCAAGAACACCAGUGGCGAAGGCGGCUCACUGGCCCGAUACUGACGCUGAGGCACGAAAGCGUGGGGAGCAAACAGGAUUAGAUACCCCGGU